rnacentral:rRNA from 1 species
CCUACGUGUGGCAGCAGUGAGGAAUAUUGGUCAAUGGGCGCGAGCCUGAACCAGCCAAGUAGCGUGAAGGAUGACUGCCCUACGGGUUGUAAACUUCUUUUAUAAAGGAAUAAAGUGAGGCACGUGUGUCUUUUUGUAUGUACUUUAUGAAUAAGGAUCGGCUAACUCCGUGCCAGCAGCCGCGGUAAUACGGAGGAUCCGAGCGUUAUCCGGAUUUAUUGGGUUUAAAGGGAGCGUAGAUGGGUUGUUAAGUCAGUUGUGAAAGUUUGCGGCUCAACCGUAAAAUUGCAAUUGAUACUGGCAGUCUUGAGUACAGUUGAGGUAGGCGGAAUUCGUGGUGUAGCGGUGAAAUGCUUAGAUAUCACGAAGAACUCCGAUUGCGAAGGCAGCUUACUAAACUGCCACUGACAUUGAUGCUCAAAAGUGUGGGUAUCAAACAGGAGUAGAUACCCCUGUAGUC